CCUACGGGAGGCAGCAGUGGGGAAUAUUGCACAAUGGGCGCAAGCCUGAUGCAGCGACGCCGCGUGAGGGAUGACGGCCUUCGGGUUGUAAACCUCUUUCAGCAGGGACGAAGCGCAAGUGACGGUACCUGCAGAAGAAGCACCGGCCAACUACGUGCCAGCAGCCGCGGUAAUACGUAGGGUGCAAGCGUUGUCCGGAAUUACUGGGCGUAAAGAGCUCGUAGGCGGUUUGUCGCGUCGUCUGUGAAAACCCAGCAGCUCAACUGUUGGCUUGCAGGCGAUACGGGCAGACUUGAGUAUUUCAGGGGAGACUGGAAUUCCUGGUGUAGCGGUGAAAUGCGCAGAUAUCAGGAGGAACACCGGUGGCGAAGGCGGGUCUCUGGGAAAUAACUGACGCUGAGGAGCGAAAGCGUGGGUAGCGAACAGGAUUAGAUACCCUGGUAGUCCCGACGACCGUAACGGUAGGGUCGCGUAGGUGUGGUUCCGUUCCGUACGGACGUCGUCGUCGUACGCGUACGACAUAGCGCCCGCCGUCGGGAGGUACGGCCGGCGACGACGUAAACCGUACGAACGAAGUAGACGGCGUGAGACGUGCCGACGGACGACGACGAGGGAGGUAGG
rnacentral:rRNA from 1 species